CUGAGGGUUUCGUCUUUAAGGUGACGAACAAACGGACGGCGUUUUGUUCAGCAGGCAGAUGCUCAGUUCAGAUUCUGCCGAGGCUUUUACGGUAAAUAUUUAACAGCAAGCCAUUUAAGCAGAAACAAAGUGUGUGUGUGUGUGUCUGUGUGUGUGUGUGUGUGUGUGUGUGUGUGUGUGUACUGUAUGUGUGAGGGAAAGAAGGAUGGGAACUUUAUAUAUCUGAGUUUAAAGAUCCUGAAAUCUUGAAGCUCGUCAGCAGCGGUGCAGUUCGGCAGCAAGGCCGCGGUGCUAAAAACGGCAGCUCGGCUCGGCGCUCUGUGCUAAAAAUACACUGGGCUUCUCUCAGGCGAGCGCGGAAGCCUGAAUUAAACACAACGGGGGCCGUAACAUGGAUUCAAAUCCCUGCUUUGGCUCUGAAAGUCGAUACACCUGAGGGGCAAAAAAAGCAGCUCAGGUACAUAAAGUUCACGCAGAGAGGCGGAUGACGGCCAUCGUUUCAUCAGCGUUAUCAUCGGAGUGGCAUCUCAAAAUGUCCUAAUCGUACCCUUUCCCAGUCUCUAAGAAGAUUGCGUCAUGACACGGUGACCCUGCGUGGAGCGUCAGACGAAAAUACCUGCUGGUGAGUAACACACAAACACCCGCCGCUCGUGCCAGCGUGCAAAUGCAUACGACGUCGCUAGCCGCUCAGAUUUCGCUAGUCAGUGCCCACGCCAAAGACUGAGAGUGGCAGCUGCAGCAGUAUGUCCUCACACACACACACACACACACACACAAACAAAACCAAUCAUAAUGGGAGUCUUAAUUGAGUUUCGCCAUUUUUCAAGCGAGCCAUUAUCUCGAGCUAAUGGCGUCCACUGGUCCUCUCUCGCGUUACUCGAGUGGGUCUUGAGCGAGCCUCUUGUUUCCUGCAGUCGGAGAUAACGCGACACUAACAACUACACCCACAGUCAUCAGCGAUCUGCAUAUUCAAUAACUUCCGUAAUUACGUGUGCAAUUCAUCAGAUCCCAUCUGAUUGCAGAGGGGAAGAGAGACAACGCACGAGCGCGCGCGCAC
ensembl:lncRNA